ACGGAAGGCAGCAGUGGGGAAUAUUGGACAAUGGGGGAAACCCUGAUCCAGCGACGCCGCGUGAGUGAAGAAGUAUUUCGGUAUGUAAAGCUCUAUCAGCAGGGACGAUAAUGACGGUACCUGACUAAGAAGCCCCGGCUAACUACGUGCCAGCAGCCGCGGUAAUACGUAGGGGGCAAGCGUUAUCCGGAUUUACUGGGUGUAAAGGGAGCGUAGGUGGCCAUGCAAGUCAGAUGUGAAAACCCGGGGCUCAACCCCGUGACUGCAUUUGAAACUGCGUGGCUGGAGUACAGGAGAGGUAAGCGGAAUUCCUAGUGGAGCGGUGAAAUGCGUAGAUAUUAGGAGGAACACCAGUGGCGAAAGCGGCUUACUGGACUGAAACUGACACUGAGGCUCGAAAGCGUGGGGAGCAAACAGGAUUAGAUACCCUGGUA
rnacentral:rRNA from 1 species